GCUACUUACAUGGUGAGGUCAUUGAUACCUCAGUGCUUGAUACAUAGCAGAGAGGAGGCAGAUACAGUAGCAGCAGUGGGGAUUUAGCUGCCGUUGGAUGAGGAGUUUAUCGGCGUAUGAAGAAGGAAACAAUAUCUUUUCACCGACAUUAUUCAGCGGGUCUCUCUGAUGCUACGCUGUUUGUUGCUGUUUAUUCAUCCUACCAAAAGAGAAGGAAAAUAAAACCCUACAUUUUAAAUCAGCCGAACUUCUGACAGCCUUUACAACAGGAGCCAUGGUGGCAGCAGUCCUUAAGAUGUAUUUUAUUGGAACGGCUCUGAGUGUCCUUGCGGUCUUUUAUGUCAUCGUGGACUCCUUUGGUGGUCUGAUGUACGUCCAGGACGAUCACUACACAACGGACCAGCAGACACAGAGACAGAUCUCCUCAGGCCACAACAGGAAACGAUCACCUGUGACUAAACACAUUGGCUAACAAUGAGAACCUUGAGGUCACAAUUGACUUUCGUGGCAAUGAUUGUCCAAUCGCUGUGGAUUAUAAAUAUCCUGCUUCCAUUCCUAAAUAUGGACAUAAUGUCUAACCUGCAGGACUUUUACUGGAUUAGACACUUGUCGUUGUUAGAGCAGCUCUACAACCAAUGAUAAAUGUAACGGCACUACUGAACAAUGAUUUGCACUAAAAAUGAGAGUUUGUAUAUUUAUUAUGUGAAAUUUAAGAGUUUGUUUUUUUCAAAUAAAGGCAUUUUUAAAUGUUUGAAAUGUUGCAAUGACUACACACAAUUAAACUGUCUUAUAAUGCC